AAGUCGUAACAAGGUUUCCGUAGGUGAACCUGCGGAAGGAUCAUUCAUAAUUGAGUGUUUUAUGGCACUCUUUAAAAAAAUCCAUAUCCACCUUGUGUGCAAUGUUUUUGGACUCUCUGUACGUUGAUAUCCCUUUGGGUCCGAUAGGACUUUAGGGGAAGGAAAACCUUAAGAGGGUUUGAUUAACUUAACACCUUUAAAGCAGUUUGUCUGAAUAUCUAUUUCUGAAUAAACAUAAUUCAAAAAUACAACUUUCAACAACGGAUCUCUUGGUUCUC
rnacentral:misc_RNA from 1 species